UUUCUCACAAUAUGCAAAAGUUCACAUUCUAUGCUACAUCAUUGCAUUAUGCAUUCGCAACAUAUAGCAGCUAGAUAUGCAAUAUGAUAAAUCAUGUUGCAAAAUGCAAGCUAACUGAAAAGUGUUAGAACUUAAGCUAAAGGAAGUGCCAUAAUAGGGAAUAGGAAAAAACUCUAUCACAAUCUAAAUUGUAGCCUCCAGUCGUGUUUCAAACAUUGUACUUACAAAUAGACAACCAGCAGGCCAAGCACUCACGUAGAAACUAAUGUUUCCAAUUACUUCCUGGUUGCUGCUACCCAGAGUUCAAAGCUCUCCUUAAGAUAGAUACCGCAUCACUCAUUCACUCUUUCCAAUAACAAAACCCCAAGCAUAUAAUCCUUGCAAGCAACUACUACUUGCCUAUUUUGGGCAAUCCCCCGCAAAAAACUGGGCCAUGGAAAUGCAAUUGCGGGGAAUCCUAUGUGAGAUUAAAUAAAUACUUGGUCCAGAAAAGAAAAAGAAAAAAGGGAAAAUAUAAAACAAAACAAAAUAAAAAGAAGAGGAUCAAAUAGUUAUCUUCGAAAGGUCAGCAGUUGAUUACUUGUGGAAGAAUGCUAUUUUUCAACUUUGAAGUAUGUUGGAGGUAAAAUAGCACCUCCUAAACCAAUAUUUUAUCAUUGUGAGUAUCUCCACUCAUUGCCGAGUGGUUUUGAGUUGGAUGCUUAUACACAGUGGUAUCUACGCUGAGCUUUCAGAAGAUUUUGGGAAAGACUCUGUUUCAAUUUCAGCGCUUUUGGUAAUUAUUUCCCCCUUUGUUCAUGCCAUAGGUGCACUUU
rnacentral:lncRNA from 1 species